rnacentral:rRNA from 1 species
UACGAAGGGGGCUAGCGUUGUUCGGAAUUACUGGGCGUAAAGCGUGUGUAGGUGGUUGUCAUAGUCAGGUGUGAAAGCCUUGAGCUCAACUCAAGAAAUGCACUUGAUACUGGGCAACUAGAGGACCGGAGAGGAUAGUGGAAUUCCCAGUGUAGUGGUGAAAUACGUAGAGAUUGGGAAGAACACCAGUGGCGAAGGCGGCUAUCUGGACGGUUCCUGACGCUGAGGCACGAAGGCCAGGGGAGCAAACGGG